UACAGGGGGUGCAAACGUUGCUCGGAAUCAUUGGGCGUAAAGCGCACGUAGGCGGUCUGUUAUGUCGGAUGUGAAGGCCCUUGGCUCAACUAAGGAAGUGCAUCCGAAACUGGCAGGCUGGAGUACUAAAGAGGGUCGCGGAAUUCCCGGUGUAGAGGUGAAAUUCGUAGAUAUCGGGAGGAACACCGGUGGCGAAGGCGGCGACCUGGGUAGAUACUGACGCUGAGGUGGCGAAAAGCGUGGGGAGCAAACAGG
rnacentral:rRNA from 1 species